GAUGAACGCUAGCGGGAGGCUUAAUACACGCAAGUCGAGCGGCAAGGUCUUCGGACCCUAGAGCGGCGCACGGGUGAGUAACGCGUACGCAAUCUGCCCUUCAGUGAGGAAUAGCCCUGGGAAACUGGGAUUAAUACCUCAUAAUAUUAUUUAAUCGCAUGGUUAGAUAAUUAAAGUUCUGGCGCUAAAGGAUGAGCGUGCGUCUGAUUAGCUAGUUGGUAGGGUAACGGCCUACCAAGGCUACGAUCAGUAGGGGGCGUGAGAGCGUGACCCCCCACACGGGUACUGAGACACGGACCCGACUCCUACGGGAGGCAGCAGUAAGGAAUAUUGGGCAAUGGAGGCAACUCUGACCCAGCCAUCCCGCGUGAAGGAUUAAGGCCCUAUGGGUUGUAAACUUCUUUUGUUUGGGAAGAAAUCUGGACAUUUAUGUGCAGUUGACGGUACCUUACGAAUAAGCACCGGCUAACUCCGUGCCAGCAGCCGCCGUAACAC
rnacentral:rRNA from 1 species